CCUACGGGAGGCAGCAGUGAGGAAUAUUGGUCAAUGGACGCAAGUCUGAACCAGCCAUGCCGCGUGCAGGAAGACGGCUCUAUGAGUUGUAAACUGCUUUUGUACGAGGGUAAACGCAGAUACGUGUAUCUGUCUGAAAGUAUCGUACGAAUAAGGAUCGGCUAACUCCGUGCCAGCAGCCGCGGUAAUACGGAGGAUUCAAGCGUUAUCCGGAUUUAUUGGGUUUAAAGGAUGCGUAGGCGGUCGGAUAAGUUAGAGGUGAAAUCCCGAGGCUCAACUUCGGAAUUGCCUCUGAUACUGUUAGGCUAGAGAGUAGUUGCGGUAGGCGGAAUGUAUGGUGUAGCGGUGAAAUGCUUAGAGAUCAUAAAGAACACCGAUUGCGAAGGCAGCUUACCAAGCUACCUCUGACGUUGAGGCACGAAAGCGUGGGGAGCAAACAGGAUUAGAUACCCCAGUAGUC
rnacentral:rRNA from 1 species